CUCAUGAACUGGGGUAUUCCUUCCCCGUGUUCUAUUCCGAAGUGAUCACCCUAUGCCCUAACUUCUUUCGAAAAGUAAAAGUGUUGAUUUGUUAACUCUAGAUGUACAAACGUAAUUAUAUCCCUUAAUGUGUCCGUUUAAAAUUCAUUUGACAAAGGGAGGAAUAAAAACAACGACAUUUUGUGUGGUUUCCCCUUCGGUCCCAUCGGAGACGUGUCAACCCAUCGUUGAACUUUUUCAGGGGGACUUUGAACUGUGAAAUGCAAGUUACUAAGCACUCUGGCGAUGAAACACUCGAUUUAAUAGUGAUAAAUAAUAAACUUUCUUUCGCACUGAUCUAGGACUGCUCCCAAUAUAAAUCAUAAACGGAAAAAAGAAGGUCAACUUGUGAAACUGAUUUAAAGCAUAAUUUACCGCGGAUCACAGGAGAAGACAGAGAUGAGUCGAGUGUGGAUGUCAGUGGUGGGAGGAGACUGCGGCGGAGGCGUUUGCGAGCUCCGUCGCUAUUGCUGUCGGCCUUACUUUUGGGCGGCGGGCUGUCCAGGAAGAAGUCGUUGCAGGCCACAGUCAGCGCGCCUAUGAGGAUGAUGAACUCGGUGAAGUCCACCUCGCCAUCGUUGUUGGCA